GUGAACAUUUAAAAAAAAUUAAAAACAAUUAAAACAAGAAAAAUACAAAGUCUAUAUAUUGAUCCUUAAUACACAUAGCCAAUAUGUAUCUCUGAUUAUUUCACAGAUACAUCAGCAUAAUUUUAACAAUAUUUAAUAGACAAUAGAGCUUGAAUUAGAUUUUAUGUACAAUAACAAUAUGGCAAAUACACAGCAAAAUGUUAAAAUAAGAUGAUAAAAUAAGCAAUAGUGCUGUUAAUUAUGUUUCAGAUUUAGCUGGGAAAAAUUGUUCUGAAGAUAACGUUUAAACCAGUCUAUAGUUUAUUCUAAAAAUUAUAUACACCUGCAUUCAACAUUUUGAUCAUUUUAAUCAUUUUAAUUAAUUUAAAAAAUAAACCUAAUUUCACUUAUUUAUUGUUUUUUACUUGCAACUUUGUUGUUGUUGUUGGACAACUGAUGUACUCUAGGCACUGUAUUAUGUACUGGUGGCACAUAAUAGAGACUGAUACUUCUCACCUACACUUACAUACUAAAAGUAAUAAUAAACGGUCCACACAAUUAUAAUCAGUGUUACUAAUUUUAGGGUGUAAGUUUCAGUAAUGUUUUAUCAGAUGUCAAUUCUGAUUAGUAUUUGAAAGGCACCAUAAUAAAAGAUAUAAUUACUUGAAAGAAGAGAAAUGAUGAAAAAUUAAUUUUCCUUUAAUAAUAAAAACAUCUUAUUUAGCAUAUGAAAUUAAGAGAAUAAAGUGGGUUCAUUGUUUAUGUCCAACACAGUACAUAAUUAUAUAUUGUUAUGAUAGAAUAAAUUUUUUACAACUCAGAAAAAGAGCUCUGUGAGACUAAUGACAGUUUCUGGCCAUCUAGACUAUAUUUUUUAUUCCAUUAAUUGUCCAAUGACGUAUUUGUAUCUUAAACCUGGAGCCAAAAAACCCAACUUAUUUUGACAUCUUGACAGCAUUCUCAAAGCAUUAAAAAAAAAAGUGAUAUUUGUAGCAAAAUAAACCUGUGAAGUUAGGGGUAAUUCUAUUUUAAUCUAGUUGUAUAUUCAAUGUAAUAGACUCCUCUAACACCUAUGGAUUCUAACAGCUAUUAGGACCACCUUGAAUAUGGUUCCACAUUAUUACAAGUUUUUAAGAAAUGGUCUCUGAUGUCAUGGACUUGGGUGCUGGGAUAGAAGAAUUCUAAAAAUAACCCUCAAUGGCCCUUUCCUUGUAUCAUUGCUCCUUUAUCUGUGGACAGAAUUUAUGAAUAUGACUAGAUGUUACUCCAUGAUUAUGUUACAUUACCUGGCACAAGUAAUUUUGCAGAUGUAAUAAACAUUGUUAAUCAGUUAACCUUAAAAUAGAUUAUUUUGGUCAGCCUAAUCAAAUGACAAAGCUCUUUAAAAACAGAGUUUCUUUUGUUUAGUUACAGAAUGAAAAGGAGAGAGAUUGUAGGUAUGAGAAGGGCGCUUCCCUGCUGCCUUUGCAGGUGCAGAGGGCCUUGGGAGAAGGAACACAGGCCAGCCUCUAGGAGUGGAGAAUGGCCUCCCGGCAGAGAGCUGACAAAACAAAACAAAACAAAACAAAACAAAACAAAACAAAACAAAACAAAACGGUACCCCAGAUUUAUAGCCACAAACAACUGGAUUCUGUUGACAAUCUAGGUGAGUGUGGAAGCAGAUUCUUCUCCUGAGACUCUAAGCAAGCGCCUGGAACUGCCAAUUCACUGAUUUCAGACUGUGAGAACAUAAGAGAACUCAGUCCAGCUGAUCCAAUCCUGACCUAGUUAUAAGACCAAUAAAUGGGUAUUGCUUUAAUCCUUUGAGUUUGUGAUAAUAGAAAACUGAUACAGGUAUGAAUCCAGCUUCUGCCACUUCUUAGGUGUACAAAUAGGAUAACUUAAGGAGUUAUUGUGGGGAUAUUAUGGGGGAUACAGAGAAGGGAAAAUACGGUUGAAAUGCAUAGCAUAAUGGAGCAUAACAAUAAAGAAAAUGAGCUAAGAAGAAAAAUAUAGACCUUUACUUUAAAUGAAUCAUGUAUUAUACACAAGAAGAAAAAUCUUAAACUAAGUGUUAAAAUGGUUUUAAUGCUAAACAUUUCCUAUUCUAUUGUUAAACUAGUAUGCAUUGAAUUAAACUGAUAGUUAUAGUGCUAAUCACAACUGCUUCUAAAUCCCAGAAGAGCCCCUUAUAUAGAAAGUGUACACAAUAAGAAUACAAAUACCAACGUAAAAAAGCAACAGAAAGAAACACAACAACGCAUAUGCCAACAUGGAGAACUUUGUAUGAAUUCAUUCCAUUCUCAUCGUCCAUUUAUUUGCGCUUUUUGUGUACUAACCUCUAAUAGCUUUAUGUAGUGCUAAGAGACAAAGUGGGGCAUGUUAAAAAUUCUUUUAGUUGUGCAUUUACGAAUUUGAAUAAAGUACGCGUCAAACCAUGAGAAGCGAGGAAUGAUCCAGCAAGUGGAGCCAGGCAGGGGGAGAAAAGGCGGAAGCAAAGCAAGGGCCUCAUUGAUUGGCUAUAGCCUAGAUAGCGGCUUGUGAUUGGUUGUCCUUAGGUUUCGCUCUGAUAACUUUGAAGCUUUUGCGGUUUCGAUUUGGUUUGUUUACCUCAGCCGCCGGGUAUUAGAGCUAUGUCAGGCUAAUGGUCUUGUUUUAUUACGAGUUAGUACUCGUAGGCGUAUUUUAAACUGAAACUGAGGAGCAGAGAGAUUUCAUAACUUGCAGAAGACCGCACAGAGAUAUAAAUUCUACCUAUAUCUGAUUACUGUGAACGGCUAAGGAACUUCUGUGUUUAUUUUACUUCCUAUGAAAUGGAUCACUACCAUUCAAAAUCUUCAUUUGUGUUUAUUUUAAAUGUACUUCUGUCUGUCUAGCCCUGUCAAAGCCUCUCUACAUUUCUGAAACAACUUGUGGUAUUGAUAUAGGUGAAGAAUGAAGUUCUGGGAUCAGAAUAAGCUGUCUGGGUUCAAAUCACAGUACUCAGAUUACUGGCCUUGUGAUGUUUUGCAAAUCAAUCUUAUAGUGAUUGGGUUCUGCAUCUGUAAAAUUUGAAUCAUAAUUGGAUAUCAUCAUAGAAAUUAUUAUGACUGUAAUUGAAAUAUCAUGUAGUAAGGCUUAGGGCUAAAAAAGACUGGCACAGAGUAACUGCUUACUGUACAUAAACUAGCACUAACAAUAAUGAAGAUGAUAAGAAUUUCCUUUAUGAUAUAACUUUUAACUUUGCAUUGCAGUGUUCUGUGUAUGUAUCUUAAUCUUUUGAAAAUGAGAACCAUAAAAGACAGUACUAUUUUGUUAUUAUAUACCAAACACAUAGAAUAGAAUAUAUUUAUUUAACAAUAAUUAACAAAAAUAUUUGUUAAAUAAAUGAACAAAUACGUGCAUAAAUGAAUGAAAAUUUUCAGGGAACUUAGAGGUAUGGCUGAUUAAAUUGUAUAGUAACUUGCAUACUUUGCCCUUUUUAUUUCUAAUAAAGCAUUUAAUUUGCCUGUGAUAGAUAGAGAAUAAAUUAUUAGAAAGUCAUUUGCUGUGUUCAACACACACACACACACACACACACACAGAAAACAUAUAUAUUGUUUGGAGGUUGAAUGACCACCUCAAAUUUGAUGAUUUACUGGAAGAACACAAAAAAUUCUUCCUUCCUUCCUUCCUUCCUUCCUUCCUUCCUUCCUUCCUUCCUUCCUUCCUUCCUUCCUUCCUUCCUUCAUGUUUUCUUAGAAUUCCAAACAGCCUCCAUCCCACAGACCAUGAGAUCAUGACCUGAACUGAAAUCAAGAGUUGGAUGCUUAACUGACUGAGCCACCCAUGUGCCCCAUGAUUCUAUAUAAUAGUAAAUUAUACUCAUGGCCAAGGUUUAUUAAAGCCACAGAUACACAACAAAAUCAACAAAACAAAUGCAGAUUGGAUGGAGUCCAGAAAGAAGACACAGGUUUCCAACUUCCUUACCAAAGGCUACACAGAACUUUCUUUCUUUCUAGAAGCUUACUACAAGAAUAUGUGUGGAAUGUCUCUGCCUAUAGAAACUUAGUUAAGUCUAAGAAUCUGGGGAUUUAUGAAGGGCAGGUCACAUAGCCACAUCGUUUUAUACUCCCAGCCAUAGCAACAGAAAGUCAGGACCCCCAACAACCAAAUUACACAUCAUCAAUCUUGAAUUUUGUGCAAAGAAAGCCUGAGACACUGGUACAGGAUGGUACAUUGUUCUAAUUAAAUAACAAAAUCAUCAAUCACUAACAUUAAGAACCUUCUAAGGGCCACAUUCCCAGGUGUUGGCCAAGGGCCAGUCAAGAUUCAAAGUUCUCUUGGAGAUAUGCAAGUAGUGAGCAGUCAUACCUACUAUUUAACUCUUUCCUAACAUGUAAAGAAAUAAUCUUCAUUGUAAGAGCAAAAGGCUUACUAUAGAAAAUUUGGAAAUUAUACAAGUAUUUUACAUUUAUAAACACCCUAGUCACAAAACCCAAAGAAUGGUUAGUAUUUUAAAUGUUAUUUUUGCAGGCAUAUAUUGCUAGUACAGUUUAAUCAUAUUACCAGUUUGUUUUAUUAGUAUGUGAAUAUGUUUUCCAAUGACUGACAAAAUAAAAAUUUUAUUUUACUUGCUUUAUUCUUUGGUUUAAAUAUGAUUGCUUAACUUUUUAUGUUCAUAUUAUUAUUACUUUCUUAGUUUUACAAAGGCUGUUGUAUCUAUGAAAUUUUUUUCUAUUUGUGGUAAUUUCUUCAGCAUACCUUCAGAGAAGAGAAAAUUGUUGGCAAACCUUCACACAAAUCUGAUAAAGUCUGACUUAGACUUUAGGGUUCUGGCUUGGCAUACAAGGAAUGUGGAAGUCCUGACUCUGUCCUAAUAACAAGUAAAACUGUGGUCACAAUUUCAGCAGCAAUAAUAAUAAGUGUAAAUUCUUGGGUGUCACCCUAGAACAAAUAAGCAGAAACUCGGGGGUGGAGCCAAGCAAUCUGUGUUUUAACAAACCAUCUUGGUGAUUCCAACACUGGCCAAAGUAAGCAACUUGGGACAGCUCUGGGUUCUCAAAUGAACUGCAGAUUUUAGAAAAGAAAGGAAUAGAAAAUCUAAAAUAAAUAAUGAUUUUUGUAAUCAUGGCUUAGGAUUUCCAGAUGGAAGAGAGGAAAUGCAGCAAAAGGAGAGAGAUGAGAGUUGGUUCACAUGAAGUUUUGCAAAGGCAUUAGGAGCAGUGUUUAGGGCUCUUUUGCUAUAGCACCUUGUUUGGAAGGAAGGAAUGGAGGGAGGAAGGAAGGGAGGAAGGAAAGAAAGAAAAGAGAGCAGGACCAGUAUUUUAUUCACUCUUGCAAGUAAAAUACCAAGAGCUAGCUAGAUUCUAGGCCUCAAACUGCAUUGUCAGAUGUCUUUUGCUUUCUCUUGUUUAUACUUUUCUCUCUUUUGUGUUGGCUUCAAUCUCCAGCAGGUUCUUUCUAAUAUGUAAAAAUGGGCCUCGGUUUUUUUAUGCUUUACGUCCUUAAAAUUGAUCACAUCUAUGUCAGUGAUCCCGGAGGUCUCCAAUUACUGCUGCACAUGACUGGGUUCAACCCUGUAGUAACCACGGCUCUGGAAGAUUGAAAUUCAAGAAGACUGAUUUGAGUUAUGUGUCCAUUCUUGUAUUGGGUGGGGUUGACCAUUUGACAUAUUGCCUCCCCAGGGUGACCUGUUCUGGGACAUAAGAUAGCCCUGGGGAGAUAAUGAGCAAAAUGCAGUGCUACAGAUGGCUGCUUUAUAAGAAUUGAGCAGAUAUAUUUGUCCCUUUGGAAAUUUUGAGGUAAACUAGCAUAUGAGGCAAAUAGACUCAGUCCUAAUUCAUUCUUGGCAUGAAAAUUAACUGGGUUUAGUCCCAAAAGCUUAAGCAAUAAUUUGGAAGCAGUCUGACUCAGCAGCUUUUAUAACUUCCUAGGUGGCAGGGCAGGAUUCUGAACUAUUGGAGAGAAUUCAAGUUAGAUAAAGACUAAAUAGUGUCCAUUCAAAUUAGUGACAAAAAACCAUUGGUGACCUUGGCAACAAAAGCUACAAUGGAUUGACAGCAAGGGAGCCAGAUGGCAGUGCUUUGAGAAGUGUGAAUGAUAAAUGAGGCAACAGAGACAGGGGGAAGAAAAUGCUUUUAAAAUGUUACAUAGUAAAGCAAAGUUAAUGAAAAUAGAAGUUUUCUCAACUUAUAGAAAAUAUGAUAACAGUCAUUAUCACUGUGUUGUAGAAUUACAAGUAACUAUAAUUUUGUUCAUAUUUUUCAUACAUUCUAAAUUUACUACAUUGAACAUGUAUUACUUUAUAGUGAGGAAAAAAAUAAACAGACUUUUAAAAAUAAGCAUUUAGGCUAAAACCCUGAAAAUGCUGUAAGGCAAAAAAAAAAAAAUGCAUCAAACUCAAAAUCCAAUUUCCGGCGCACAACCAAAUAAGGUGAACAUCUGGAUCUCCUGAAGCAAAUGGAGAGUUGUGUGCUUGGCCCUGUAGCUGCUCAGUAGAUCCAGUGAAUUCACAGAAGAGUUCAGGUUUAGACCCCGGAGCUGUUAUGGCAAACUGUACAUCUAAUUGACAGCUUUUCUGCUCAAAACAUCAAUAAUCAUUCAUUGUGGGCUCUAGAUCCUGAGCAAGACUCUGAGGGCUCAUUUCAGCAAGUUAUAGCUUUGCAGUAACCUUUGCAGAUUUAUAUAAGGAUCUUACAGUGUAAAAGACAAAGUGGGACAGUGUUAGGGACAUGUUCUUACUCACUAAAAACCUAGGUUAAAGCUCUGCCUUAAAAAAUACACACACGCACAGGUGUGUGCAUGCACACACACACACACACACAGCUAUAAAACCAAAACUUUCUAUCAUUUUCCAUGUGUUCUCAGCUAAAAUUUACUGAGUCAACCGCCUAUGGAGCCAUUAAUUUUUAGUUUUCCAUUGCAUUAAAGUGUAACUAACACAAUGACAAAAAUGUAGAGAGCAAAUUAUUGAUAUAAAGAUAUAUUGAUGGAUCUUAAGUUAUUCUUGUUAUUGUUCUAGUGAAAAUAGUUUGAAGAUUUACCUUUAUUGCUAUAUGAUGGCUCAUUUUUGAGGAACUUAGCCCCUUUACUGGGAACAAUAUCUAGACCUGUAUAGUCCCGUGUGAUAACCGCCAUCUACCUGUGGCUAUUUAACUUUAAGUUGAGCUAGAUUUCAGUAAAGAAAAUUAUUCAGCCAUUCUAAAUACAUUCUGUGUACUCAAUAGCCAGAUGUGGCUGGUGGCCACCAUACAUUUCCGUCAUACAAACAGUUUUUUUGAAUAAAACUGGCAUAGAUGUAGACUUCUUGGAAGUUAACGGGUGCCAUUUACUCCAGAAGCUGGUAAGAAUGAUCAGUUUUGUAUUAAAUGAUGGCUGUAGGAGAGAUGACUAGGUUUCCUCAGAUCAUCAAUAUUCAUUUAUUAACUGAUAUUAAUAAUAAUCAAGACUUCAUUUCUCACCCUUGCUUGAAGUUGAUAAUACCAAGUGACUAAAUUUCAACUGCAGAUGAGCAGUCGUGCCUUUUAGUGGUCUGCAGGAACUUUCUGAAGGAGAAAGCUGACACUUGGUCUAUACUACUUCAUUGAGGAAAUGAGCUCCAUCUUGGACUACUAAGGUGAAGGUCAUAGCUAGAAAUGAUGAGGUGGAAAUAAGAUACCUGAGAUCCUGAUGGGCCAGCACUGCCGUAUCAACCCAGGGUAGAGUAACUGGAAAAGAACUAUAGCUGUACCAUGUUUAACCACUGUAUUUUAGGUCUUUAUAACUCAGGCACAAACCAGAGAAUAAAGAAUUUUGUGUGGUAGUACACAUGGGUUUCCAUGAUGGCAAUCACCUCUGAAUCAUCGGAGGACCUGGCUUUUCCUGGCAAGUAGGUGUAAGAGAUGGAAAACAGGUAACUGCUCUUUAUAUUGAGAGAGUUGUGCAGAUACAGCCAACUCCUGAUUCACAUUUAUUCUUUUCUCUUGUUGACUAAUUGAAUAAUGAUUUGGUUAAGAGAAAAUGAGUACUUCUAGCUUUAUCAGCCUGAUUUCUUGUAGCUUCAUCUAGCCAUAUGUGUACCUCUGCCUGAUGAUAUGUAAGAAAAGUGUACUAGUCUUUAAAAAACAUUCAGUGUUCCCAUAUAAAAAGGGACAGAAUUAGCUUGGGCAUGUCCUUUGUCUUUUUCCCUUCACUCUUUUUCCUGAUAGAAUUUGAAAAUGGUACCUAAAAGUGGAGCAACCCCCCCUACAAUACGAAAAAGAAAAAUUUUAUAUUAAGAAGAGCAGAGAAGUUUUGUUUCAUGAUAGCAGUAAGUCACAAACUAUUGAACACAAUGAGAAAAAUCAGCUUUUAUUUG